rnacentral:rRNA from 1 species
GGAGUCUAACAUGCGUGCGAGUCAUUGGGUUGACUAAACCUAAAGGCGCAGUGAAAGCAAAGGCUGCCUAGCAGCUGAGGGGUGAUGACCUUGACCGGUCCGCAACCCCGGCGCUUUGCAUCGACCUCGCUUCGUGCAGAGCAGCAAGAGCACGCACGUUGGGACCCGAAAGAUGGUGAACUAUGCCUGGCCAGGUUGAAGUCAGGGGAAACCCUGAUGGAGGACCGUAGCGAUUCUGACGUGCAAAUCGAUCGUCSGAGCUGGGUAUAGGGGCGAAAGACUAAUCGAACCAUCUAGUAG